rnacentral:lncRNA from 1 species
AUUGAAAAUUCUCGGAGUGACCAAGGAAGUUGGUGUUUUGGGAAGCAAAGAAACAGUUGGGAUUUUUGUCUGCUUGUUGUUGGAGGGAAGAGGCAUCUGGGUUGUUUUAAAUAUCAGCGAAAUUGUGAGAAAUGAGAUCAGCAACUUUUUGUGUGUGUGGAAGAACGGCUCAUUUGACCCACAUUUACCAUUGUUAUAUGCCAUUUGGCAUUCAAUUGGAGCAAACCCUCUUGCCCAUUUCAGCUCUAAGG